AGUACUAAACAAAAAAAAAAACCAAAUUCCUCAAUAAUCAAAACACCCAUCCAAAAUCUCCGGAAACGAGCCCUUAAUCUCACAAUCCUGCACCAACAAGGCAUCCACAAACGAAUCGAAAGACGAAUCGGAAGAAGACCCUUCACAUUGCUGCGAAAAGGGCUCAAUCCCAUUACGCUGCUCCGAACAACACGACGAAGAAGCAGCAAAAUGGAACAAGCCUUCACCGCCAUUGAUGGAGGACGAUGAACAAGACGAGGUUGUCGGUUGUUCAUUGAAAAACUGUGGUUUCUUUGGGGUCUGAAACUGAAAUUGCUGUCCCAAAUAGGCCCCUGAAGAAAAUGGUUGCUGGGUUUUGGCCAUUGUUGUUGUUGUUGUUGGGUUCAAGGUUUUGUUGAAGGGGCCUAUCAGGGGGGGUUUGGGCGUGGCUGGGAGGCUGCUUAUGGAUCCAUAGUCAAACAGGAUCUGAGAAAAGGGCUUCUGCUUUGCUAUUACAGACCACCUGCACUAAUCAAUGGAGACAGAGACAGAGAUUGUGUGUUAUUCAUCUUCAAGUACUCAAUAACAUGCCCAUUAUCUUUGUGGACUCAACCUUCGAUUUCUCGACAACGACGCCAUCGUUUCCGGCGAGAGCUCUGUACUUGUCUUUUCUGGUGAAGUUAGUGCACUUAUACGAC